GACGAACGUUGGCGGCGUGCUUAACACAUGCAAGUCGAACGGAAAGGCCCUGCUUUUGUGGGGUGCUCGAGUGGCGAACGGGUGAGUAACACGUGAGUAACCUGCCCUUGACUUUGGGAUAACUUCAGGAAACUGGGGCUAAUACCGGAUAGGAGCUCCUGCUGCAUGGUGGGGGUUGGAAAGUUUCGGCGGUUGGGGAUGGACUCGCGGCUUAUCAGCUUGUUGGUGGGGUAGUGGCUUACCAAGGCUUUGACGGGUAGCCGGCCUGAGAGGGUGACCGGCCACAUUGGGACUGAGAUACGGCCCAGACUCCUACGGGAGGCAGCAGUGGGGAAUAUUGCACAAUGGGCGGAAGCCUGAUGCAGCAACGUCGCGUGCGGGAUGACGGCCUUCGGGUUGUAAACCGCUUUCGCCUGUGACGAAGCGUGAGUGACGGUAAUGGGUAAAGAAGCACCGGCUAACUACGUGCCAGCAGCCGCGGUGAUACGUAGGGUGCGAGCGUUGUCCGGAUUUAUUGGGCGUAAAGGGCUCGUAGGUGGUUGAUCGCGUCGGAAGUGUAAUCUUGGGGCUUAACCCUGAGCGUGCUUUCGAUACGGGUUGACUUGAGGAAGGUAGGGGAGAAUGGAAUUCCUGGUGGAGCGGUGGAAUGCGCAGAUAUCAGGAGGAACACCAGUGGCCGAAAGCGGUUCUCUGGGCCUUUCCUGACGCUGAGGAGCGAAAGCGUGGGGAGCGAACAGGCUUAGAUACCCUGGUAGUCCACGCUGUAAACGGUGGGUACUAGGUGUGGGGUCCAUUCCACGGGUUCCGUGCCGUAGCUAACGCUUUAAGUACCCCGCCUGGGGAGUACGGCCGCAAGGCUAAAACUCAAAGGAAUUGACGGGGCCCCGCACAAGCGGCGGAGCAUGCGGAUUAAUUCGAUGCAACGCGUAGAACCUUACCUGGGUUUGACAUGGAUCGGGAGUGCUCAGAGAUGGGUGUGCCUCUUUUGGGGUCGGUUCACAGGUGGUGCAUGGCUGUCGUCAGCUCGUGUCGUGAGAUGUUGGGUUAAGUCCCGCAACGAGCGCAACCCUUGUUCACUGUUGCCAGCACGUUAUGGUGGGGACUCAGUGGAGACCGCCGGGGUCAACUCGGAGGAAGGUGGGGAUGACGUCAAGUCAUCAUGCCCCUUAUGUCCAGGGCUUCACGCAUGCUACAAUGGCUGGUACAGAGAGUGGCGAGCCUGUGAGGGUGAGCGAAUCUCGGAAAGCCGGUCUCAGUUCGGAUUGGGGUCUGCAACUCGACCUCAUGAAGUCGGAGUCGCUAGUAAUCGCAGAUCAGCAACGCUGCGGUGAAUACGUUCCCGGGGCU
rnacentral:rRNA from 1 species